rnacentral:tRNA from 1 species
UACGUCUUUAGUAUAAUAAGUACGACUACCUUCCAAGUAGAAAGUUUAUCUUUUAAAAGACGUA